AUUGAACGCUGGCGGCAGGCCUAACACAUGCAAGUCGAACGAGUGGCGGACGGUUGAGUAACACGUGGGAACCUACCCAUCAAAGGGGGAUAACACUUGGAAACAGGUGCUAAUACCGCAUCCUGGUGGAUGUACCCGCGGUGCAUUAGCUAGGUGUUGAGGUAACGGCCCACCAAGGCCACGAUGCAUAGCGGACCUGAGAGGGGGAUCGGCCACACUGGGACGGAGACACGGGCCAGACUCCUACGGGAGGCAGCAGGGGGGAAUAUUGCACAAUGGGCGCAAGCCUGAUGCAGCCAUGCCGCGUGUAUGAAGAAGGCCUUAGGGUUGUAAAGUACUUUCAGCGGGGAGGCGUUACCCGCAGAAGAAGCACCGGCUAACUCCGUGCCAGCAGCCGCGGUAAUAC
rnacentral:rRNA from 1 species